CAGUCGCCACGGUAAUACGUAGGGUGCAAGCGUUAAUCGGAAUUACUGGGCGUAAAGCGUGCGCAGGCGGUCCGCUAAGACAGAUGUGAAAUCCCCGGGCUUAACCUGGGAACUGCAUUUGUGACUGGCGGGCUAGAGUAUGGCAGAGGGGGGUAGAAUUCCACGUGUAGCAGUGAAAUGCGUAGAGAUGUGGAGGAAUACCGAUGGCGAAGGCAGCCCCCUGGGCCAAUACUGACGCUCAUGCACGAAAGCGUGGGGAGCAAACAGGAUUAGAUACCCCUGUAGUCCCUGUCUCUUAUAC
rnacentral:rRNA from 1 species